GGAGCUCAGUCGGUAGAGUAUGAGACCCUUAAUCUCAGGGUUGUUGGUUCAAACCCCAUGUUGGACA